rnacentral:rRNA from 1 species
GACGAACGCUGGCGGCGUGCUUAACACAUGCAAGUCGAACGAAGUGGCGAACGGGUGAGUAACGCGUAAUCACCCUGCCCUUCAGAGGGGGACAACAGUUGGAAACGACUGCUAAUACCGCAUACUGAAGGAGGGGAUUGCGUCUGAUUAGCUAGUUGGAGGGGUAACGGCCCACCAAGGCGCUGAUCAGUAGCCCGGCUGGGAGGAGGAACGGCCAAAAUGGGACUGGGACACGGCCCAGACCCCUACGGGGGGGAGCAGUGGGGAAUCUUCCGGAAUGGACGAAAGUCUGACGGAGCAACGCCGCGUGAGUGAUGACGGCCUUCGGGUUGUAAAGCUCUGUUAGUCGGGACGCGGUACCGGAAUAGAAAGCCACGGCUAACUACGUGCCAGCAGCCGCGGUAAUAC